GUAUUUUUGGUCGCUAACCAUUUCAGGUUGAGAUUAAAAAGAAUGAGGGUCAUGCGAUGCCCGAGAAUACGGGAGCUGUUUCAACCAUACAUUUGGUGCUUUUUGGUGGUGGAACACACUCUGAAGGAGACACCGACAUCACACACUUGACUCUCGGUGUCCUGAGACACAAAAGUCUAAGUGUGGGGGGAGUUGGUGAGCAUAUCGCUGCAACUUCCAUCCAUACCAAGAAGCAUCCUGAUUAAGGAUAAUGAUAGUUCUGGCUUGCUUAUAGAAAAGAGAGAGAGAAGAAUAAAGAAAAAACAAAAAAAGGGGAAAAGAAAAAAGAAGAAGUAAGAUAAAAAACACAGAAGAGAGAU
rnacentral:lncRNA from 1 species